rnacentral:rRNA from 1 species
AUUGAACGCUGGCGGCAGGCCUAACACAUGCAAGUCGAGCGGAUGAAGGGAGCUUGCUCCUGGAUUCAGCGGCGGACGGGUGAGUAAUGCCUAGGAAUCUGCCUGGUAGUGGGGGAUAACGUCCGGAAACGGGCGCUAAUACCGCAUACGUCCUGAGGGAGAAAGUGGGGGAUCUUCGGACCUCACGCUAUCAGAUGAGCCUAGGUCGGAUUAGCUAGUUGGUGGGGUAAAGGCCUACCAAGGCGACGAUCCGUAACUGGUCUGAGAGGAUGAUCAGUCACACUGGAACUGAGACAAGGUCCAGACUACUACGGGACGCAGCAGUGGGGAAUAUUGGACAAUGGGCGAAAGCAUGAUCCAGCCAUGCCGCGUGUGUGAAGAAGGUCUUCGGAUUGUAAAGAACUUUAAGUUGGGAGGAAGGGCAGUAAGUUAAUACCUUGCUGUUUUGACGUUACCAACAGAAUAAGCACCGGCUAACUUCGUG